ACUUUCCUAAUCUGGUGUAUACAGAGAGCUGCACCCAGCAAUUCUUCUGGUAUCAGUGCAGGAGUAGCAGUUUCAUUUUCUUCCUGCAGCUUCUUCUCCUUUGAAAUGUGAGGACCAGCCCUGUGAACAGGUGAGGAGCAGCCCUGUGACCAGGUGAGGACAAACCCCUGUGAACAGGUGAGGACCAGCCCUGUGACCAGGUGAGGACCAGCCCUGUGAACAGGUGAGGACCAGCCCUGUGACCAGGUGAGGACCAGCCCCUGUGAACAGUGAGGACAAACCCCUGUGACCAGGUGAGGACCAGCCCUGUGACCAGGUGAGGAGCAGCCCUGUGACCAGGUGAGGAGCAGCCCUGUGACCAGGUGAGGAGCAGCCCUGUGAACAGGUGAGGACCAGCCCUGUGACCAGGUGAGGAGCAGCCCUGUGACCAGGUGAGGAGCAGCCCUGUGACCAGGUGAGGAGCAGCCCUGUGACCAGGUGAGGAGCAGCCCUGUGACCAGGUGAGGAGCAGCCCUGUGAACAGGUGAGGACCAGCCCUGUGACCAGGUGGGGACCAGCCCUGUGACCAGGUGAGGAGCAGCCCUGUGACCAGGUGAGGAGCAGCCCCUGUGACCAGGUGAGGACCAGCCCUGUGACCAGGUGAGGAGCAGCCCUGUGACCAGGUGAGGAGCAGCCCUGUGACCAGGUGAGGAGCAGCCCUGUGACCAGGUGAGGAGCAGCCCUGUGACCAGGUGAGGAGCAGCCCUGUGACUAAAGCCCAGUGUCCAGAGCUGCUCUCUCCCAAGGGUUGUGAGGCUGUGAACCUGCCCAGCUCCGGGCUGUCCCACCCACCCUGCUGGGUCAGUGACUGCUGUUGCAGGGUGCAGGGGAGCUCUUCCCGAGGUCAGACACCCAGCAAGGACCAGGGCUCACCCUGGCUCUGCUGACCCCAACUGCAACCUUCUCCCUGCUUGUACUGACAGCUCACCCACCCUCCUGUCACCUGGGAGGGCACAGGCUGAAACGAACCCAGCUGGAAGCACCCCGAGGUCUUUUGGGGUUUCCUUUGGAAAUUCUGAAAGGUUUUCCUCUUAGCUCAAAACUGACUGCAAGCUCGAGGCCCUGCAGCCAAAAUCUGCACAAAGCUCCUCAGCUACCUUGGCCAAGGACAGCUUGGCUCAACAAAAGCCUCUUUUCCAAAAUCAGCUCCACAGAACCUUGGUGGCUUGCUGUGAGCUCAGCGAGGCUGGAACUCGGGAGGAGUCAGAUGGUGAGCACAACCUCCCCAGCACUCAGUGCUGCUUUUGUGGCUCUCUGCUUUCUGCUUCAGGAAUUUCCCCAAUGCCCCCAGCAUUUCAACUCCCUCGUCAUGAAAAGCAAAUCAUCCCUUCUGAUUUCCUCUUCUAACCUCCUUGAGUUAUCUCCUCUGCAUGUCCAGCACAACUGAGAAGAGCCCACGGGGGGCCAAAGAGGUGAGGCAAGGAAAAAAGAUGAGUGAGAGAGGCUACAGCAGGAAUUCACAAGAGGAUUGUUGUUAAGGUGAAACAGAACCAAGAGCAGAGAUUCAUGGUCUUCCAUCCCCAGUGAAAAGGGAAAGUUAUCAGCUGGCUGGGCUCAAAACAAAGGCUGUGCUUUUCCAAAUAACACAGCUGCACCAGGAAAUCCAGGGCUACAGAAAACAGGAAUGUUCCUAUGGAUUGACCUCCACUGCAGUUCAAAGGGAAAUCAGACUAAUUACUGGAAGAAAACUGGGUCCCAUUCCUAGAUCACAAACAGGCUGAGCUGCACAGCUGGAACACAGCUUCCUUUGCUCUCACACCACUGCUCUGGCACCUGCUCUCAGCCACGGCUGCAGAAAUGGAUCAGAACAACCCCUGGCCUCAGCCAGAGGGAUUCUCAACAGGAACACCCCUCUGGUUACUGGAACUGCACUGUAAAAGGAGAAUUAAAGCUUCUUCCCAUUGGAUUGUUCCUCUCCUGUCCUGCUUUAGGGACCCAGUUUGCAGAUGGGCUUGAAGAAUUGUACUGGUUAAUGGAAUGGAUUUUGGCAUUAGCAGAAAAUAUAAGCCCUCAAUAUCAAAUAUUAAAUUAUUCCUGAUUAAUUCUUUUAUGGGCUCGGACUUGCAACUGAUUUAAUACUCCUGGAUAAUUACUUCUGUUAUAACUGUGCCUUUGAUUUUUAAUUAACCAUACAAAGUUUCUCAUUCAAAUCUAAUAUUACCUUUGUUAACAAUGUCAACUCUCUGUUUAGAGAUUCUGCUCACAUUAAACUGUAUGCUGAGAAAUUAAAAUCUGCUUUUCCUCAA